UACGUAGGGAGCAAGCGUUGUCCGGAAUCAUUGGGCGUAAAGCGCGCGUAGGCGGCUCGAUCAGUCUGUUGUGAAAGUCAAAGGCUCAACCUUUGAAUGCCGAUGGAUACUGUCGAGCUAGAGUCCGGAAGAGGCGAGUGGAAUUCCUGGUGUAGCGGUGGAAUGCGCAGAUAUCAGGAAGAACACCCGUGGCGAAGGCGGUUCUCUGGGACGGUACUGACGCUGAGACGCGAAAGCGUGGGGAGCAAACAGG
rnacentral:rRNA from 1 species